GAGUAAAGAUUUCGGUCGCUUUGGGAGGAGCUCGCUUACUAUCAGCUUGUUGGUAGGGUAAUGGCCUACCAAGGCUAUGACGGUUAGGGGGUGUGAGAGCAUGACCCCCAGCAUUGGCACUGAAACACUGGCCAAACACCUACGGGUGGCUGCAGUCGAGAAUCUUCCACAAUGGGGGAAACCCUGAUGGAGCGAUGCUGCGUGCGGGAUGAAGGCCUUCGGGUUGUAAACCGCUUUUGUAGGGGACGAAAUUUUUGACGGUACCCUUUCGAAUAAGAGGUUGCUAACUCCGUGCCAGCAGCAGCGGUAAUACAGAGACCUCAAGCGUUAUCCGGAUUUACUGGGCGUAAAGCGUCUGUAGGGGGUUUAUUAAGUUCCAAGUAAAAUUUCAAGGCUCAACUUUGAAUUCGCUUGGAAAACUAAUAAACUGGAGUCUAGCAGAGGUGCAUGGAACUUGUGGUGUAGGAGUGAAAUCCGUUGAUAUCACAAGGAACACCAAAGGCGAAGGCAUUGCACUGGGCUAGCACUGACCCUGAGAGACGAAAGCGUGGGGAGCAAAACGGAUUAGAUACCCGUGUAGUCCACGCCCUAAACGAUGAAUGCUAAAUGUUCGGGGAUUCGACCCCCUGGGUGUUACAGCUAACGCGUUAAGCAUUCCGCCUGGGAAGUACGGCCGCAAGGCUAAAACUCAAAGGAAUAGACGGGGAUCCGCACAAGCGGUGGAGCGUCUGGUUUAAUUCGACAGUAAGCGUGGUACCUCACCAGGGUUUGACAUCCCUUGACAGCCUUGGAAACAAGGUUUCCUUCGGGCAAGGUGACAGGUGCUGCAUGGUCGUCGUCAGUUCGUGCCGUGAGGUGUUCCGUUAAGUCGGGAAACGAACGAAACCCCUAUUGCAUGUUACAAUUUCUCAUGCAAGACUGCCCGGAUAUACUGGGAGGAAGGUGGGGAUGACGUCAGAUCUGCAUGGUCCUUAUACCCUGGGCGACACAGGCGCUACAAUGGCAGAGACAAAGGGUUGCAAAACCGCAAGGUGAAGCUAAUCCCAAAAACUUUGUCUAAGUUCGGAUUGAAGGCCGCAAUUCGCCUUCAUGAAGCUGGAAUCGCUAGUAAUCGUGAAUCAGCCACGUCACGGUGAAUAUGUUCCCGGAUCUUGUACUCACCGCCCGUCACACCAAGAGAGUUGGUAGCUCCCAAAG
rnacentral:rRNA from 1 species